GUGGCUAUAGCUCAGUCGGUUAGAGCGCUAGAUUGUGGUUCUAGAGGUCGCCGGUUCGAUUCCGGUUAGCCACC
rnacentral:tRNA from 1 species